GGGCGCAAGCCUGACGGGGCGACGCCGCGUGAACGAUGAAGGCCUUCGGGUUGUAAAGUUCUGUCACGAGGGAAGAACCGCUGGGGGUUAACAGCCUCCAGCCUGACGUUACCUCGGGAGGAAGCCAUGGCUAACUCCGUGCCAGCAGCCGCGGUAAUACGGAGAUGGCAAGCGUUGUUCGGAUUUACUGGGCAUAAAGCGCACGUAGGCGGAGUCAUAAGUCGGUUGUGAAAUCCCGGGGCUCAACCCCGGAACAGCGGCCGAUACUGUGAUUCUGGAGCACGAAAGGGGAGAGUGGAACUUCUGGUGGAGCGGUGAAAUGCGUAGAUAUCAGAAGGAACACCGGUGGCGAAAGCGACUCUCUGGUUCGUUGCUGACGCUGAGGUGCGAAAGCUAGGGGAGCAAACGGGAUUAGAUACCCCGGUAGUCCUAGCCGUAAACGAUGGGCACUAAGUAGAGGGGUUUU
rnacentral:rRNA from 1 species